rnacentral:rRNA from 1 species
UUAAAUUGAAGAGUUUGAUCAUGGCUCAGAUUGAACGCUGGCGGCAGGCCUAACACAUGCAAGUCGAACGGUAACAGGAAGCAGCUUGCUGCUUCGCUGACGAGUGGCGGACGGGUGAGUAAUGUCUGGGAAACUGCCUGAUGGAGGGGGAUAACUACUGGAAACGGUGGCUAAUACCGCAUAACGUCGCAAAACCAAAGAGGGGGACCUUCG